rnacentral:rRNA from 1 species
UAACAUGAGAGUUUGAUCCUGGCUCAGGAUGAACGCUGGCGGCGUGCUUAACACAUGCAAGUCGAACGAAGCACUUUAUUUGAUUUCCUUCGGGACUGAUUAUUUUGUGACUGAGUGGCGGACGGGUGAGUAACGCGUGGGUAACCUGCCUUGUACAGGGGGAUAACAGUUGGAAACGGCUGCUAAUACCGCAUAAGCGCACAGCAUCGCAUGAUGCAGUGUGAAAAACUCCGGUGGUAUAAGAUGGACCCGCGUUGGAUUAGCUAGUUGGUGAGGU